UUAUAUUGGAGCAAAUUUGGAAUAAAAAUGAAAAGUAGCCAGCUUUAAAAUUUAUUCGAAAGAAUUUAUCAUUUUGAUGUAACGAUGAAAAAUUGUACUUGUCGAGUAUUCACGACAGGGGACUAUUUUCAAGCGUUUAUUUCUCUAUAUAUGCUCGCAAUAUUUCCUUAUUCUAAAUUUGAUAUUCGAUAUGACAUGAGGUAUAGGUGAAAUUUAUAGGGAUCAUUGAAAUCGCGAUGGAUAUUCGAUAAGGUGUCGUUUCAAACAUUAAUUUCAAGUGUAUUUUUUUUUCAUUUUUUAAUUUUCAUAAAUUUAUAUAUAAUAAAAUGUCAAUUAUCGGAUCUAAUUGGAAAGUAUUUUGUAAUAUUAUAUUUUCUUCAAAUCUAUUUCUUUGGUUAUAUUGAAAUUAUCGAUUCGAUAUAAAUUUUGCAUAUAUAUUUGCAGAUAUUACAAUUUAAUCUCAUGAAUAUGAUAUACUGCUUAUCGAAAGAUGAAUAAUUUAUGAUUCAUGAUAUACAUUUCUCUACUUAUAACAAGAAUAUAACGCGAUCAAAUGUGGAUAUAGAUGGAUAUAGUGAUCUACAUACGUAAUUUCUUGAUGACUAGAUAAAACAAAGUGAUUUCCAAGUGUGGCUGUGAAUCUCAAAAUUUCACGAGGGAUUUUGGACAAUGGUCGUAAUUCGAAAAAUCCGAGGGAAAGGGAAUAUAAGCCAGACAUAAGAGAUGCAGGAAGAGAUAAAGGAGAAUAGAAGGAUAGAAGUUGUCCGGGAGGAAAUGCUGAGAGACGAGGGUGCGCCAACCAAAGGGCCACACCCUGUCAUUCAAUACGCAUACACGUGUUCAAUUAG